rnacentral:rRNA from 1 species
CCUACGGGCGGCAGCAGUGAGGAAUAUUGGUCAAUGGACGAGAGUCUGAACCAGCCAAGUAGCGUGAAGGAUGACUGCCCUAUGGGUUGUAAACUUCUUUUAUAUGGGAAUAAAGUGUUCCACGUGUGGGAUUUUGUAUGUACCAUAUGAAUAAGGAUCGGCUAACUCCGUGCCAGCAGCCGCGGUAAUACGGAGGAUCCGAGCGUUAUCCGGAUUUAUUGGGUUUAAAGGGAGCGUAGGUGGAUUGUUAAGUCAGUUGUGAAAGUUUGCGGCUCAACCGUAAAAUUGCAGUUGAAACUGGCAGUCUUGAGUACAGUAGAGGUGGGCGGAAUUCGUGGUGUAGCGGUGAAAUGCUUAGAUAUCACGAAGAACUCCGAUUGCGAAGGCAGUUCACUGGACUGCAACUGACAUUGAGGCUCGAAAGUGUGGGUAUCAAACAGGAUUAGAUACCCCUGUAGUC